UCACCCCGUUGAGGCAUUACUCCACUCACUUAGAAGCUGUUCUCACGUUGACAUCCAAGUCACCCUUGAACACAAACUGACCAGGUUUCCAAUGAAAAGACAGGUGGCUCCACUCCCAGUGCAUAUUUUCAGUUGUGUUGUACGGGUCCUAUAACCAUCCCCAACAACUUGGUGAGAUCUGGAUACAAGUAUCCUCCAAAUCUCCCAAAUCAGUACCUUUUUCUCUCCCUACCAUGUGCUACACAGGCCCCAACCAUACCAUCCUAGUAACUCCUCUGGAACCCCUCACCUCAGUAGCCAGUUGGUGCAGAUUUGCCUGUUCUAUGUCCAUGUGCCAGUCCCCAUGAAACAGUAGACGGCUCUUGUCCCACCAGGGCAAGGGUGGGCUGGGGUCAGCUGAAGGCUUGGUCAAGAGGUCCACAGAUUGGCUAAUCAGGGUCCAGGCUGGAUCCCAGCACGGGCCCCAUACCACUGUGUACUGGAAGAUUUCCGCUGGGACAGAGGGGCAAAGGGUACAGGUUGUUACACAACUUCUUUCUUCACUCCAGAAGGGCCUCAGCUCAUCUCCCAUCCUAGCCACCACAACAUCCCUCAGCCAAACCAACUGCCUUCCUCUACUCACAGCGGAAGUCGUGGUAGAACUUGAGUGGGGGCAUGUUCCUCUCUACUGCCACAUUACCCCAUGGAAGCCCCAAGUGCAAAAUCUGACGCCGCCGGGAGCAAGGCUGACCACUCUGCUCGGUGCCCACAAGUCGACCCAUCAGCCUCCAGUCACGGAUCUCAAACAGGUAUCGGGGAUAAUCUCUUAUCCGAACUGUUAUUACAGGGAGGAUAUACAAUGGCUAUUCAGAGGACUGUCUCAAUAUUCUCAAACAUUUUUCUCCCCCACCACUACUUUUACCCAGCUAUUUAACAAAGUCAACUGAGAGAACAAGAGCUGGCAAUUGACAGAAAAGCUGAAAAAGGGCAUGGAGACACCAAGCAGAUGGUGAGGGGAAUACCACUGAGAUCCAAGGGGUACACCAACCCUGAAGACGACUGUGUUAGCUGUCCCUUUAUGUUAGCCAAGCAGUUUCAGGGUGAAAUUCAGGAACAAAGAAAGGGAAGAGGAGCCCACCCAUCCCACUCCACCCAUCCCACAACCACCAGAGUUCCCAAUAUAACUGAGCUCCUCUGCAUCCACUCAAAGAGCUUCCUGGAGCUGGGAGGGCAAACACCAGACUCUGCAAAUAAGGAAGUACUACUUACCCAAAAAUGUCUUAACACUGCACUUGAGCAUACGACACCACUGAAUGACAAGAUCUACUCCCUCAGCAGGGAAAGGGCUGCCUGGAUCAAGCUCUUGAACUUGCUCUACCACACGCUCAGGGCCAUGGAAGGAGACAUCUGCCAGAGCUACCAGCUCUAGCCCCGCCAGGCUCCAAGUGAGCAGGGCCCGGCGCAUAGGUGUGUUGCCAUAGAGACGACGGGAACGCUGAAUGUAGAUUUCGAUGUUUUUAUGUUCCAAAGAGGCAUAGAGCUCCUCAAUUUUGCGGGCUGGCAGUAACUCCCCAUGUUGCUUCCGAAGGGCAGCCACCUUGGCAUCCAGCAACUGCAGCCUUUUGGCACUCUCCUUACUUUCAUCCUUCAUCAGUUCAUAGUUAUCACGAAGUUUCACCUCAAAAAUGUCAUCCAGGAAAACCCAUGAGAAGUGCUGAACCUUCAAGAGUAGAUCCGGUGGGAGUGGGGCAGGGCUUGGAGAAGCCUGAGCAUGAGUUCCUCGAUGCAGCCCCUUCAGCCAUUUCUGAACUCCCACAGCCUCAUCCAGAGUUCGAGAGAAAUCGUACUGAUAAGGAAACUCCACUGAGACUGAUCCCAAGGACAGGAGCCAAACACGGUUCCGGAGGGUCUGCAGCACAGGGAAGGGGUUCCGGUGGAGGAUCAUCUCCUCCAGUUCAGGUAGCAGCUGUACUUCCACCUCCUUGAAGUUGAAGAUGUUAUUGCCAUCAAAGCCGGCAGCCAGCUCUGGGCAGUAAGCCUGCAGUGAACCCCCAUGCCUGCUCAGCGACACACUCUCUGCAGCCAGGGUAAUGAAUUUGUCCUCAGCUACAAAAGCUGUCAGCUUAGCUGUGCUCACCUCUAGUGUGAGGUUUAGGAGCCGCUUUGGAGGACAUGGCUCAGGGAGAUGACCUUCUGGCUCAGACGCAGCCUCUGGAGUCUCUAGUGCAAGGAGUGGAACAGUCUCGGGAAACAGAGUGGCUCUUAGUAGGUCUCGGCAAUGCAGGGUAGCCAGGACGUGCUGGUACAGGUACAUGUGAUCUGGGGGGCUCCAAAGUAAGGUCAGCCCUGCACCACACUGAACCUUCAGGGAACAAGAGAAAAGAAUCUGUCAGUUACAAUAUCCCCAAAUAGGAGAGCUGACCGGGAAUAUUAUACAAGCACACCUGGGUCAAGAACCAUCUCCACUAGGAAGUAUUUCCUGAGUAGCCUCAUUAGUUACUCCCUUGCCUUGUUCCCCUUAGCACGAAUGUGCUAAGCUAACGGUUCUUGUUCAUGUGUAAGAGCACUCACACUUUUGAAUUCUCAACUGGAUUCUAAAUUGUCCAAGAGUAGAGAUCAUGUGUGUUGAUUCUUUAAUAUCUACCAUAGGAUAUCAGCUAUGUACAGCAGACAGUUAAUCAUUUGGCUUUA
rnacentral:lncRNA from 1 species